UCAGAAGCUAUGAGACCUACGCGCUAGCCAACUGCGCCACCACCCCUUCGAUGGCUACUUUAUUUCUUUCAUCUACAAUGGUUUGGUAUCCUAAGAAACUUCCAAAUAAAGACCUCUUUCGUCUCUUCCGACAGCCAUUAACGGCUUUCUCAUUUCUUACAACUCAAUCAUCCACAUUCAUUACUCUCUAUCUGGGUACAUAUCAAUUUCUACUGCUGGACUUUAUGAGUUGAUAAGUAGCACACGAAAUGGAGAAUGGGAAAAAUAUGAAUGCAAUUCGUGCGCAAGACAACUUUAUUAUGAUGUCUUUUGAACAAAAAGAGCGUCCUAGAAGCCGUAGUGAUAUUAUGACUUGUCGUCUAAAAAACCGAGAACGGCAGCGGAGAUACAGGGCCCGGAAACGAAUGGAGGCAAAUAUGAAGAAAGCUUCUGUGCCAAACCAAUCAGCUAGAUCAGAAGAACAUCUGGAACACAAUGGGAAUAUUAACAAUUAUAGAAUCAUUGUUCAUUGUAAGCGAAAUUGGAAAAAAGAUGCAAGAAAAGCUCAUGCUUGUAAAUCUCUGGAGGAAGUGCCGAGUGCAAGUAUGAUUUCUGCUUUGGGCUUAAAUAGUGAAAUUCAGACGCAUUGUUUGACCCCUCUUACAGUAGUUGAAUCACCGCUAGAGAGGAAUAAUCAUUCUGAGAAUUCGCUUAGCUUCUUGAGCAGUGAGAUGACAUCCAAGAUUGGUAGAAGAGAUUGGAAGGCUGAAGCAAGAAGAAAGAAAAACUAAUUUGGUUGUUUCCUAUUCAGGUAGUGAUGGACAUCUUACAGGGUGAAAUUUAUUUAUGGGUAUCGAUUUUGGAACUCGUUGGAAGUUGUAAUGGAGAAAAGAUUAUGUUGAUCUGGUAGUUGAUAAAGUUAUGAAUGGGGUUGGAGUUAUCAGAGUUGCUUGCAGAUGCAGAGGGGCGUAAGGCAGUAUAGUGAGUUAAUAGUUGGGUUACCACCAGCUAUUUGGAAGAUAAGGUCUGACACCUGGUGUAUUUAUAAGUAUCAGCUGGUUUAGCCAAGGAAUAUUGGUAACGGAGGAGUGGUGCCGCAUCUUAAUCAUUUCCCGAUACCCUUCCUCUUAUACUCCCCAAGUAAAGAGAAGUCUGAUGCUUUCCAUUUACUGUUGUUACACAAGGAAGAUGGUUUACAACAAAGAUGCUCCCUUCUGGGCUUGCUGAGAGAGGACAGUGGAAAGAGCCGACUGAUUACUUCUAAAUUGGAAGCACUGCAUGUCUCCAGAAUUGUAUUAAUGGGGUAAUCCUAGUGGAAGAAUUGCUGCAAUAUAUUUAUCAGUAACAAUACCUAAAUUUAGGCUAUGAAACCAAGCUUCAUGUUUUUAUGGAUAGGGGCUGGAAUCAGGGGCUCAGGGACGUAGAGGCUGGGGCCUUGGAGGCUGCCCCCAACUUCUAAAAUUUUAAAAAUUCCACAUAUAUAUUUUAGAUUU